GACGAACGCUGGCGGCGUGCUUAACACAUGCAAGUCGAACGGAAAGGCCCUGCUUUUGUGGGGUGCUCGAGUGGCGAACGGGUGAGUAACACGUGAGUAACCUGCCCUUGACUUUGGGAUAACUUCAGGAAACUGGGGCUAAUACCGGAUAGGAGCUCCUGCUGCAUGGUGGGGGUUGGAAAGUUUCGGCGGUUGGGGAUGGACUCGCGGCUUAUCAGCUUGUUGGUGGGGUAGUGGCUUACCAAGGCUUUGACGGGUAGCCGGCCUUAGAGGGUGACCGGCCACAUUGGGACUGAGGUACGGCCCAGACUCCUACGGGAGGCAGAAGUGGGGAAUAUUGCACAAUGGGCGGAAGCCUGAUGCAGCAACGCCGCGUGCGGGAUGACGGCCUUCGGGUUGUAAACCGCUUUCGCCUGUGACGAAGCGUGAGUGACGGUAAUGGGUAAAGAAGCACCGGCUAACUACGUG
rnacentral:rRNA from 1 species